UUGUCCUCAUUUGAUUAUUUUCCCUUUUUAACGAAACUCGUUAGUGCACGUGGGGGUGCGCUCAGACUACCACUGCGGCGUGUGGAAGGUCUGUGGCUGGAAGAAGCCGAAAGCCCUGGAGGUCGUCCAGACGGAGCAGAUGGCCACCUGCAUCAACGUCAGCCCCCAUCUUCCAGGAGAGCUGCUUGUUGCCACAGAGAGUGGAAGUGCGUAUCUGUGGACUGUUGGGAAAGGGCUGCAGAAGCUCCGGGCCGAAGCGGAGAACCUGUACUUCAAUGCCCAGUCGGCGUGGAGGUGGUGCGAUCACACCGCUCACCCCAGGAUCGUGAUUUACGCGGACAGGACGGGAGUGGAGCUCACGGACACGAGGGUGAGCCCUUCGUCCCCCGGUUCCAGUAGCCAAAACACUUCUUGGGGACCGAUCGUCAGACAAGUGGAAAUUAAGCUGAUGGGAUGCGCAGCCCUCAUUAAAAAAAAAUGGAGGCAGUUCUUUACACAGAGUUAUGAGUGUCUGAAAUAAGCCGCCAAUCCAUGUUGAGAAAGCAGAUUCCAUGGGACCCUGCAAGAACAGGCUAGAUAAGAUCCUCCAGUUUUCCAGUCUGUGGGCACGGCUCCCAUAGAGAGCUGAAAUAUGCUAGCUAGGAGUCUUAGAAUAUCAUCCCUCAUUUCCUUAAUUCUGACUGGAAAAUGCCAUCAGGCCCCAGGGAUUCAUUUAGGUUUUAGAAACGCAGACUAAUUUUAGACUUUGUUUUUGAAUUUUAUGAUACACAUCAAAAGAUACUGCGUCAUGGUCACAAUUUCCUAAAGAUUCUAUCACGUCUGUUCUCUUAAUUAUACCCCGGUUGUUUGAAAAGAUAAAAUCGAAAAGAGCAUCUUGUGCAGUUUUUGCUUUUCCAAACUGCAUUAAGAAGCAAAUCAUUAAGCAUGUCCAUCAUUUCAUUGGUCACCUUCUUUAUUCUUCAUGCCAGCAUCCCAAACUGUGCUCUAAAAAUGGGAAGUUCUUUGUCUGAAGCUUGGGGAUUUACAGGAAGUUCUUGUCAGUCUCCAGAACGUCACGGCCAGACUUUGUUUCGCAUUGGAGAGACUGCGGAGUGCAAGCAAAGGGAGAGAGUGAUUCUGCCCAGAUACCUCCGAGACGUCAAUGCCUACCACUAC
rnacentral:lncRNA from 1 species